rnacentral:rRNA from 1 species
CAGCCGCCACGGGAAUACGGAGGGUGCAAGCGUUAAUCGGAAUUACUGGGCGUAAAGCGCACGCAGGCGGUCUGUCAAGUCGGAUGUGAAAUCCCCGGGCUCAACCUGGGAACUGCAUUCGAAACUGGCAGGCUAGAGUCUUGUAGAGGGGGGUAGAAUUCCAGGUGUAGCGGUGAAAUGCGUAGAGAUCUGGAGGAAUACCGGUGGCGAAGGCGGCCCCCUGGACAAAGACUGACGCUCAGGUGCGAAAGCGUGGGGAGCAAACAGGAUUAGAUACCCCUGUAGUCCCUGUCUCUUAUAC